CACGGGGGGAGCAAGCGUUGUUCGGAAUUACUGGGCGUAAAGGGCGUGUAGGCGGUCAAGUAAGUGGAAUGUGAAACGCCUCGGCUUACCCGAGGACCUGCAUCCCAAACUGCUUGGCUUGAGUAUGGGAGAGGAUGAGGGAAUUCCUGGUGUAGCGGUGAAAUGCGUAGAUAUCAGGAGGAACACCGGUGGCGAAAGCGCUCAUCUGGCCCAAUACUGACGCUGAGGCGCGAAAGCUAGGGGAGCAAAC
rnacentral:rRNA from 1 species